rnacentral:rRNA from 1 species
UGCCAGCCGCCGCGGUAAUACGGAGGGUGCAAGCGUUGUUCGGAAUUAUUGGGCGUAAAGCGUGCGUAGGCGGAUUGUUAAGUCUGAUGUGAAAUCCCGCGGCUCAACCGCGGACGUGCAUUGGAUACUGGCAGUCUUGAGUCCCGGAGAGGAGAGCGGAAUUCCUAGUGUAGAGGUGAAAUUCGUAGAUAUUGGGAGGAACACCAGUGGCGAAAGCGGCUCUCUGGCUCGAUACUGACGCUGAGGUGCGAAAGUGUGGGGAGCAAACAGGAUUAGAUA